UCGCUUUGCUGCCUCUGACACAGAAGUCUACAUUCUUCUAUAUCGUUGUCAACAUGUUGGGACCACUCAUCUUCCUCAGUGCUCUUGCUUUUACGCUUGGUGAUUCUCAUGUUACCCAAAUGCGAUGGUGCACAAUCAAAGCCUUAGAACAA